GGGGAUUUAGCUCAGUUGGUAGAGCGCUUGCCUAGGAAGUGCAAGGCGCAAGGCCCUGGGUUCGGUCCCCAGCUCCG
rfam:Rattus norvegicus chromosome 1, whole genome shotgun sequence.